UACAGAGGGUGCAAGCGUUAUCCGGAAUGAUUGGGCGUAAAGCGUCUGUAGGUGGCUUCGUAAGUCCGUUGUGAAAGUCAAAGGCUCAACCUUUGAAUGCCGAUGGAUACUGCGGAGCUAGAGUACGGAAGAGGCGAGUGGAAUUCCUGGUGUAGCGGUGGAAUGCGCAGAUAUCAGGAGGAACACCAAUAGCGAAGGCAGCUCGCUGGGACGUUACUGACACUAAGGCGCGAAAGCGUGGGGAGCGAACAGG
rnacentral:rRNA from 1 species